UCUCGACAGCAUAAAAGUUAAUUCAAAUAUGAAUGGAGUUGGAACGAUUGCCUAUGUUUGCCGCUAGGGGUGCUGUUCCAACUGCAUACUAAAUUGAGUUAACUUUUACGCUAUCGA
rnacentral:pre_miRNA from 9 species